UGGCAUGAUUCAGUGGCAUUGUGUGCAU
rnacentral:piRNA from 1 species